AUUGUCAAAAUACGAUGAUGGAACCUUCAGUCAUCUUGAUUGUACUAAAGAAGCUAGAGUGCCUGCUGCCACGACUCCCUGCCCACUGCCGCUACACUCGGCGGUAAGCUGAAAUGCCUGCUGCACUUGGGGCCAGCUGUCGGCGAUCGGCUACUGGCUGCCCUUGUCUUCUGAGUCUGCCCCUUCCUCGUCCUUCUAAUGGUGAGGACGGUGCCACAUAACGGACAACUUUGGCGAUGGCAUUCCGAAACCGUUACCACGAGUGGAUGCCCUUCCUAACCUCGAACCCGCAGCCAGGGCCAGGUCAGCAUUCCAACCCGAGCAGCUGAGGAUCCAUGGGCCUCCACGCUUUAUCACUGCUCCAAGGCGGUCCCCUUAUUAUUAUUAUUAUUAUUAUUAUUAUUAUUAUUAUUAUUAUUAUUAUUAUUAUAAUUAUUAUUAUUAUUACUAUUAUUAUUAUUAUUAUUAUUGAUUGAUUGAUUUAUUAAUGCUUAUAUAAAUCCAUGAAGCUACAAUGAUUCGUCUAGUACCACGCGUAUUCGUAACUACUUUUUUAAUUCUUUAUAUCUCAUCGACGUGUUCAGUUUUUUCCUUAACAUUUUGGUGAUUUUUCUGGUAAAAUGUGGUCUUUAACUUCUGUUUAUAUAUAUGAAGCAAAAGCAUACACUAACAUUCACCUCAACACCGAUAUUUAGACUUUAUAUGUGUUUAUUGCAUCGUGGUGUGGCUCAUUUGCUUAUUUAGUAAUACAAUGCAAACACCAUAUCUUCACUCUGUCAUCCAUUUCACUGUUAAACUCUGGAACUCUCUACCAUUUUUCUUUUUUGUUCUUUUCUAUGACUGCACAUUAAUCAGCGAGCCUUUGUGAAUAAUUUCUUUCAGUCACAUACUGAACACCCUUGACGCGUAAAGUAAAUAAAUAAAUAAAUAAAUAAAUAAGCAGAGCUUCAACAUUUUCUCAUAUAAAUUUCUUACAAAUUUAGAUUUAAGUAGUGAACAAGUCUGAAGGUAAAUCGUUAUGACAAGUUCUAAUAACUUUCGUUAAUGAGGUCACGGUGCUGCAGCCUCAAGGUCGUGGUGUGGUUUGAGGGGUCGCUGACACCCUGUGCUCCCUCACCAUCAUUACUUCCCCCACCUCAGCUUCUCAUCUUCCUCAUCUCCUUUACCACCCUCACCUCCCACGCCUAAUUUUCCUCCCCUCCCUAACCUCCUCACCACCCUCACCUGCCUCACCUCCCUCACCUCUCCACCUUCCUCACCUUCCCCCCGCCUCGUCAUGUUCUCCUGCCACAGACAAAACACUGAUCUCGAGAGGAAAGUUGGUCUUGUUCUAAUCUUGGAAAUCCAUCCAUACAUAAGAGGAUUUGUUGAUUUUUUUAUUUUUUAUUUUGUGAGUAUAAUAAGUGAGCGUUGAAUGUUCCACUCUGAAAUAUUACUUUAAAUUCAUUUUGACACACGUUGAUCUUUGCCCUAUUUAUUUAUUUAUUUAUUUAUUUAUUUAUUUAUUUAUUUAUUUACUUACCUAUUAUUUAUGGUGAUUAAAGCUGUAAAUGACAAAAGAAAAA